UUAAUUCAUUGUUCAAUAAUUAGAAUUCACGUUAAAUGUAUAAAAUUUGAUAAAUAAAAGAUUUAGCAUCAAAAUAGCAUGGACAUUAGCUGAAUCAAAAUGAUACCAACAAUUGCAUACAAUUUCCUGAAGCGUAGAUAGGUUAUCCGCUACGCAAGCACACGCUGCAAUGAGUAUCACUGUUCGUGCUCUCGUUACCUUGUUAGAGAACCCCGAAGUAGUUAGCUUCUGAAUAGUUGACUUUGUAACGGAAUGAGAUGAAAAGACAAUUCAAAGGCAAGGGAGAUUUCUUUAUCCGAAAUCAUACAGACCUGAUCAACGGAGACCUUCGGGCUUCCAUUUCCGGGAACCAUACCGUGAGAUCCUAUCUGAGGAAUCACAAAGAUAUUCUCGUCCACUUUGUCCCAGAUCGUGGUAGAAGAAGGAUCGCGAAGUAGUGUCUUUCCCGUGGUGUGAUUUUGCCAAAAGUUCAAUAGCUAGGUUGUGCGGUGAAUUGUGCGUGUUGAACCCGAGUACCAAGUUCAAAGGUAAACGACUUGUGUUGUGUGGUAUUUUAUGUGCUAAUUGUGUCAUCUAGCCAAGCGCGAGCGACGGCUAUACCUCUACUCCAAAAAUAGCACGUACAUCGCACAAAGCGAAGAACGAGAGCGUCUCGCCCACCACCUUACGUCGCGCAUCCACCCUGCGUCCUGGGGCCAAAGUUUGCCCGGCGAUUCCAGGCCGGAAGGGAGUCGCGAACGUCACCAACGCACUCCGAAGGCAAGCGACAUUCGCCAAUCGUCCGCUCGUUUGGUCACGAGCACGAGAAACACUCCACGAAGCUCGUGCGUGGCCGUGAAUCGAAUUCACCGUAGAGGUACCGAUCUACCAAUCGUCGACACUAUCGUCAACGUCAUCGGCGUCGUCGUAGAAAGCACCCGAUCGAAAGCUCGUGAGUACGUUCCACUAAAUUUUGCAUGCAAGUGAAUUAGCACCUACACACACAAAAGCGCUAGCGUAGACCACAACCGCACAAGAUAGGGCCAUAGUUUGGAAAGGGGAAGAAGAAGGAAGGCCGGUCGGACGCGACCGUAGAAAUGCAUAGGUUAUCAAAUUGAUUCAGGCCAUGAUUAUCCUAGGUUAUCAAAUUGAAUAAAUGUUGAAUAUAUAGUCCUUGUUUCCCUAAGAGAAAACAUGUGUUAGUUAGUGAUCGUUAAGAAAGUUCAAGUACAUUUCACGUUUCGUUCCGUAUUUUUUUGGUCCGUCUUGUUGUAACAUCCAUCUUCCAAAACGGAAUGGGAUUGAAGUGGUUGGGGAGUCUUUGCCCGUGAUGAGAACAGGAUAA